GGGAGUGAAAUAGAACCUGAAACCCUGCACUUACAAGCUGUGGAAGCACAUUUCUUGUGUGACCGCGUACUUUUUGUAGAACGGGCCAACGAGUUACGUUAAGUAGCAAGGUUAAGCACUUAAGGUGCGGAGCCGUAGCGAAAGCGAGUUUUAACUGAGCGUUCAGUUACUUGACGUAGACCCGAAACCGGGCGACCUACCCAUGAGCAGGAGGAAGCGAAAGUAAAAUUUCGUGGAGGUCCGAACCCACGAGCGUUGAAAAGCUCGGGGAUGACUUGUGGGUAGCGGUGAAAUUCCAAUCGAGCCCGGAGAUAGCUGGUUCUCCCCGAAAUAGCUUUAGGGCUAGCCUCAAGGUGAGAGAUACGGAGGUAGAGCACUGAAUGUCCUAGGGGGUAUUGCACCUACCGAAGACUAUCAAACUCCGAAUGCCGUCAUCUUAUACUUGGGAGUCAGACUGUGGGUGAUAAGAUUCAUAGUCGAAAGGGCAACAGCCCAGAUCGUCAGCUAAGGUCCCUAAAUGUAAGUUAAGUGGUAAAGGAUGUGGGAUUGCACAGACAACCAGGAUGUUGGCUUAGAAGCAGCCACUCAUUCAAAGAGUGCGUAAUAGCUCACUGGUCGAGUGAUCCUGCGCCGAAGAUUUCCGGGGCUAAAACUUACUACCGAAGCUACGGCAUCAGUAAUGAUGGGUAGGGGAGCUUCCCAUACGGGUUGAAGCAUGACCGUAAGGACAUG
rnacentral:rRNA from 1 species